rnacentral:lncRNA from 1 species
AAUUUUUGUAUUUUCAUCCCUUUGCUCGUCUUUGUUGCGGAAAGAAAUUAAACCGUUAAUGAAGGAAUUAAGUUAUUUUUAGAAGAAAAAAAUACUUAUUUUUAAAAAAAGGAAUUUCGAAAUUAAGUUGUUUGUAGUUGAACCCACUUCCAUUUGCUUCUUUUUAUCUCGUUUGUGGGCUUGGUGCCGGAGGAAACUCAAUUUCACGUUAAAAUUUUUAAUUCUUGAAAAUGGUAGUGUUGCUUUCCAGAUGAAUAUGGUAGUGGUGAGGGAGAGAGUGAGGUGGCUGACGAUACGAG